GGAGCUUACAAGAAUUGAUACCUGAUCAGAAUUAUCCCAUGAUCAGUGCCUCGCAUUUGAAAACACAACAUGGUGAUAGAAUUCUAGUGAAACUUGAAGUUGAUGGCCAAAACAAGUUAUACAUUUUACCAGAACGCUACUUCAAAGAGAAAAUGUUCAAUUUGGACGAAAAAGAUAAUAAAAUCGACAUGACUGGUUAUUCAAUGUCUGUUCAACCAUAUGGUAGAACAUUUACUAUUAAAGUAAACCAGAGCGAGUGUACAUCAACACAAUAGAAAUCAAAACCAAACAGAUGAUUUCAAAAAUUAUUAGAUUAAAUGUUGAUGCUGUCGAAGUAAGUUACAAUAUUGAUCGUCAGUGUAUGAGAAUAAGACACGCAGAUUCCGCAAUUGUAACAGCUUCUGUUCAACAAGAAAAUUGUGGAACUUAUUGUGUUAGAUUCAUAUUUAAAAUGAAUAUAAAUAGGUUAUGGUUUGAGGUUGAAUUGACAGUGAGAAAAGCAGAUUUUUCAUGUGUAGAAACAGUUCUUAAGUCAAACAGUGCGUCAUUUUUCUUCUCAUCAUUUCUUUUGAAAGGUACAUAAUUAUUUUAAAGUACUCAUCAACUUCAACAUUAUAAAGACUCUAUAGUGUGUGUGUGUGUGUUUAUUCAUGUUUUAUAUAUAUAAAUCUUUGCACUUAUUGAUGUAUGCUACUAUAUAUAUAGCACUGUUACCUUCAGAAGAAGAAGAAGAAGAAGAAGAAGAAAAUCAUAAUGUUUUGAAAUACAAAAUGUAUGUGUUUUUUGUCAAAUCAAAUUUGUGUCUUGUAUGUCACAUAUAGGUUAAUAGCACUCAAUCAUGUUUGUUUAACAAAAAAAGAGUAAUCGAAAAACGUUUUGUGCGUCCUGUGUCUGUGUGUGUUCAUUACCAUAAUGUGUUAAUAAAAGAAAAAAACAUAACUGAAUCA